CACAUACAGACACACCCACCCACACACACACACACACACACACACACACACACACACACACACACACGCACACACACAAACAAACACACGCCCACACACGCACAUUCUGCCCGGUCACAGGGAGGAGGAAGGCGGAUCAGUAAAUGUUAGACUCCAGGACUUCCUCAGCAGAGCAGACUCUAGGCUACAGCGCAAUCAUGGACGAAACUGCUCCACGUCCUGGCCGCUCCAUGUUUGCGUGGCUGGUGGGAGCGUCACAGUUGCUGGGUGUGGCGUCCGUGGUGCUGACCGGCGUGUGGAUGGGUCACUACCGCGGGGGCUUCGCCUGGGACGGCUCAGGGCGGGAGUUUAACGUGCACCCUCUGUGCAUGGUGCUGGGACUGGUCUUCCUGCAGGGUGACGCCAUCCUGGUCUACAGAGUUUUCCGCCAUGAGGCGAAGAGGAACGUAAAGGUGCUUCACGGCAUCAUCCACCUGCUGGCCCUCAUCAUCAGCAUCGUAGGUAUUGUAGCUGUGUUUGACUUCCACAGAGCAUCAAAGACCCCAGACAUGUACACUCUACACAGCUGGUGCGGCAUGGCUACCUUACUCUUAUUCAUCAUACAGUGGGUGAUGGGUUUGCUGUUCUUCCUCUUUCCUGUUGCGUCGUCAUGGUUACGAGCCUCAUACCUGCCCAUCCAUGUGUUCUGCGGUCUGGUUCUGCUGGUUAUGGCCAUAGGGAGCAGCCUGCUCGGCAUCACGGAGAAACUCCUCUUCAGCAUCAUGCCAACCUACUCUCAGUUCGCCCCAGAGGGGGUGCUGGCCAACACCUUGGGGAUCCUGCUGGUGGGUUUCGGGGUGCUACUGGGCUACCUGAUCACCAAGGAGGAGUUCAGGCGUCCGCCGAACCCAGAGGAAGAGGCUCUGUCUGUCCACUUCAAGACCCUGACGGAGGGGGGGUCCCCCACCUCGCCGUGACCCCAGCGGGACGUCUGACACAUCCCUGUCGCCUGGAUACCAACAGUGUCCCGCCUACCUAUCUGACCCAUUUGAUCUCAGAUUACUGAACAGACCGGUCGACCUUCACCCGAAAUUAUUUAUUUAUACUUUAUUUUAUGUAAUAAUUAAUAGAAGAAGCCUAGUAAAUGUAGAGGCUCAGUGCAGUAAAAAGACAACAGUAUUUCGACAAAUCAGAUUUAUAAAUGAAUAGGUUUAAUAGAGAAAUAUAUUGCUCCUUCAUUUCAUACGGCUUCAAGCAGGAACACAAGCAGCCUGAACUGACAAAUCACAGUUCUUUAUGUCUCCACAAGUGUUUU